GGCUCAGUGGCUCAGUGGAAAGAGUCUGGGCUUGGGAGUCAGAGGUCAUGGGUUCAAAUCCCCACUCUGCCA
rnacentral:tRNA from 1 species